rnacentral:rRNA from 1 species
AUUGUACGCUGGCGGCAGGCCUAACACAUGCAAGUCGAGCGGAUGAAGGGAGCUUGCUCCUGGAUUCAGCGGCGGACGGGUGAGUAAUGCCUAGGAAUCUGCCUGGUAGUGGGGGAUAACGUCCGGAAACGGGCGCUAAUACCGCAUACGUCCUGAGGGAGAAAGUGGGGGAUCUUCGGACCUCACGCUAUCAGAUGAGCCUAGGUCGGAUUAGCUAGUUGGUGGGGUAAAGGCCUACCAAGGCGACGAUCCGUAACUGGUCUGAGAGGAAGAUCAGUCACACUGGAACUGAGACACGGUCCAGACUCCUACGGGAGGCAGCAGUGGGGAAUAUUGGACAAUGGGCGAAAGCCUGAUCCAGCCAUGCCGCGUGUGUGAAGAAGGUCUUCGGAUUGUAAAGCACUUUAAGUUGGGAGGAAGGGCAGUAAGUUAAUACCUUGCUGUUUUGACGUUACCAACAGAAUAAGCACCGGCUAACUUCGUG